AUUGAACGCUGGCGGCAUGCCUUACACAUGCAAGUCGAACGGCAGCACGGGAGCUUGCUCCUGGUGGCGAGUGGCGAACGGGUGAGUAAUACAUCGGAACGUACCCUGAAGUGGGGGAUAACGUAGCGAAAGUUACGCUAAUACCGCAUAUUCUGUGAGCAGGAAAGAGGGGGAUCGCAAGACCUCUUGCUUUAGGAGCGGCCGAUGUCGGAUUAGCUAGUUGGUGAGGUAAAGGCUCACCAAGGCGACGAUCCGUAGCGGGUCUGAGAGGAUGAUCCGCCACACUGGGACUGAGACACGGCCCAGACUCCUACGGGAGGCAGCAGUGGGGAAUUUUGGACAAUGGGCGCAAGCCUGAUCCAGCCAUGCCGCGUGAGUGAAGAAGGCCUCGGUUGUAAAGCUCUUUCGGUGGGGUAAGGAAAGUUAGCACAGGA
rnacentral:rRNA from 1 species